AUUAACGCAAUGAGUGAAUAGCCACCGGAAUUGAACGAAGAAGAAAUCAAGAAAAUGGUGCAGGCAGAGGAGAAUGGUAACACCACGACUCUCCUCUAAAAUCCUAACCAUGAAAAUGAAAUGAUGAAAAAGUACACCCCGCACUUCUAUUUGCACCGAGCACUGAAUGAGUGCACAAUCAGGAACUGAAACCAAACCCUGAUUUGACCCAUCUCAUUCGUCCUUUCCGUUAACGCGUGGUGUACAACACAAACAGAGGGAUCCACAAUCAUCACAGAUCUAACGGCACCUAAUCUCCCUCUCACCAUCAACGGUCGAAAUUCAAUCACAGUUAAACCCUCCUCUCCUUCACUGCUACUCAAGACGACUCGUCCUGACCGACUCAGAGAGUGUGAAUGUGACGUGGUGAUGUUAGUACGUUCGUUAGUUAUAGUUAGUGUCUUAGUGAUGAAUUAAAAUGGAGUAAUUAUGUUUAAGAGCGCAAUUUGCGUGCGACGUUUCCCUAUUUAUUUGAGCCUUGUGUGUAGUGGACGAAUAAGGAAAAAAAACUGAAAAGACUGCAUCGCACUCCGUCUCUUCCAUUUUCCUUUUUCUGCAAUUACUUACCUGCUUCUGCUUCUGUUCAUAUCCAUGGCGUGCUUGAUAGCUACAGCGAGAGAGAGAGAAUUGGUUGCGUUCAGAGAUACAGUGGAUAUCGCCACGUGUCAUAUCCACGCUUUGCAUGAUUGCGCCUCUUUCUUUGACCAGUCUAAUCACUGCACCGCACCUUGAAGAGAGAGAAGGCGUUCGUUGAAUUUGGAUCUGUUUGAGUGUUUUCAAUUUUCAUCUUUUAUCUUUUCUAUUUUCUCUUGAUGUUCGUUUACCCUCUUUCUCUCUCUGUUGAUGUGGUUUUGCAGCAAACCCUAGAAAUGUCCGUACGAACAGAUCCGCAUCUGUUUUAAUCCAUUCAAUGAAAAAAAUAACAGAAUAUCUUUUCUUUCAGAUCUGAUUUACUAAUUCUUAGUUAUUUCCUCUUUUGGUUAUUUUUUUCCUCCUUCAAUCUUUCUCUUGUUUUUGCUGUAUUGGGAGAUAGAAAUUGACAGAAGAGAGUGAGCACACAGAGACACUCGUUAUAGUUCUAUACCGUUGCAUUUGCGUGCUCACUGCUCUCUCUGUCAGCUUCCACUGCGCCGGAAGAAUUUACUUUCAUCCUGGUUCUGCUCCCAUUCAUCUCCGGUUCCAUUUUCAACCCUUCUCUCUCAGUCUCUGAAGAUCUUUACUUCCUACUCCAGCAGUGGGAUGCUGGUUCAGGUUAUGCUUGUUUUAUGAUUUCUUGGAGAUCUGAAACUUCAAAUGGGUAAUUUUUUUCAAUUCAUGGUAGGGUUUAUCUGAUAAGGUAUGUGAUACAAAUAGUUGUUUCUUUUUCAUCUAAAUGAUUAUCUUGGUUGUGAAAAAUGCUAGUAGUUGAUUAGAUAAUAUACUGCACAAACCAGUGGCUUGAAUUUUUUGAGUUUGAUACAGGUAAAAGCAUACACAUGGAAUUAACACUAUGCAUGCAUGUUGCUUCUGUGCCUUAAAUUUAAAUUUACUUUGCAUACUCCUGUUACUCCAUCAAAUCAUGUCUUAUCAGAGCAGUUAACUAUCACUUCUAUAUACAGUACCAUUUCCUUCUAAACUUUUUGCUAGUUAACAUGGAAGACUCUACUAAUGAUCUUAAAGGUAUUUGGGAAGGAAUAUUAAUGAUCUUUUUAUGAACUUUCUUGAUGAUUCUUAAUAUUUAAGUAUUAAGCAUCAUUUUAAUACAGAUAUUUUAUAAGUCAAUGUGAUUAAACUAGUGGUUAGAGGUUUUGGUAGUUUGCAUCAAUCCAUAGAUUCAAACUACUAUCCUCUCAAUUCUCAAAUCUCCUUUAUAAGUUUGGUUAUGGAGUAUAUAUGAGCUCAUAUACGUAUAAACUUUAUUUUCAUCAAAUGUACACACAAAAUUCUGAAAAACAUAAUCAUCUCAUGUUCCUUGUGUCUCUUCCUGGCAAAUACAUUGUUUGAUUAAUGUAAUAUUGUUGGAUUAAUAGUUGAUUGUGUCAAUAAUAGAUAAAUUAGAUUUUUUUUAACAUCAAGAUAUAUUAAUAGCACUCACUUCAAGCAAAAAAAAACUACAAAGGUUUACAAUAAAAGGCAUUGGAUAUCAUUCCCAUUUCCCAUUAUAUUCUCUCAUAUUUCAAAUCAUCUAAAAUUGUAACUUGUUAGGAACUAAUUCAUUUUAUCUCAGCUCAAGCAUAUAUUGCUGGAUAAGACUUGUUGCAGGUGAAAACCACCUAUUCAUUGCUUCGAAGACAACACUUACACCGGGAGGAGCGACACAUUUGGAUGGGUCCUUUUGUUUUCAGCAUACUUGAAGAGGAAUCUCCAUAAUAAAGGAUGUCAAUUAUUGGAUCAGGAACUAGCAAAUGCAUGCACUAUGGCAACCUAUUCUGGUAUUGGUAUAUAUAAUUGUUUAUGAAGGCAAGAUGUAUAUGUGGCUUUCCCUUUGUAUUCUUUGCUUGUUUUUCAAUUAUUCAAGCUUUUUAUGUUGUUUUUAGUUUGAUAAAUAGCGGAAACAUGUUUAUUGAUAUAGUACUUAAUAAGCAUGUAUUGCUGAUUGCAGCGUGGUAGUACUGUGUUGAAGUUUAAUACUAGAAUAGUUCUUUAUACGAAUGAUAUAUAUGUAGAGUUCUUCUAUGUCUAUGUUGUAUAUAUGUGUUCGCUUCUGUGUUUAUUUUCUAUUUGUAAUUAAAAAAAAUAGAAUAAUAUUUAUAUUGAAUAUUCUUUUGAUAUAUGUUUGGUUAAUGUUUAGCCUCUGACAAUUUUUGUCUACAUGAACGGAGAGUGCAUAAAUUUUGGAGCUUAUUAAUAUGCUGGAUUCAUUUUCAUAGCUUGGUAGGGUAAAUGGUUGUAUAACAUCUUAUUUUAGUGCGUAAAUUAUUAUAGCAAAGAAUGUGUAGUUUUAAAAUGUUCUAGAUAGAGACUUUCCAAGUGACAUUUUAGAGCGCUGUAAUUGGGUUUUAGGCCUAAACUGAAAGUUAGAGAUAAUGCUAAACUAAAAUAUAACAAAGUAUGAGUAACAUAAGGUAAUAAUGUUGUCAGCAAAAACAUGAAUUAUGAAAUACAAGUUACAGAAGGUAAUGGUGUCAAAUAAGACAUGGAUGCUAAUUCUGGGUAUUUUCGUGUGUGUGUGUGAAGCAGAGAAAGUGGAGGUAUUUCAUUAUGGCUAUGCAGGUGGGCGAUAGUUGGUUGGAUAAGGUGGGCAACAUUCAUGGGGGAGACAUCUAGGUUUUUUAAAGAUAAUUUUUUAUAGGGUUUUUAUGAGGCCAUCCUCCGGUAGGGAUCAUUAAAGAGACUACUAGAAUUCAAAGUAAUUUUCUUUGGGGCGGCUCGGAGGGUGUUAAAAAGAUUCAUUGGGUGAGUUGAAAGGUUUUAUAUGUCUACCGAUUGAGAAAGGGGGGUCUUGGCCUUAGAAGAAUUGGUGUCUUUAAUGUAGCUCUCCUUAAUAAAUGGAAAUGGAGGAUUUUAGAGGAGAAAAAGGUGGUGUGGUACAAAGUUUUGAAGGCGCGAUAUGAUGAUAUUAAUUUGGAGGUUGUUAAUGGUGAGAGAGGAGGUAAGAGGAGGGUUUCAAAAUCAGAUUGGUGGAAAGAUAUUAUCGCUUUGUUCAAAGGAAAGUAUGAGGACGUUUUCGUUAAGAAGGUAUCCUUUUCUUUAGGUAAUGGUUUUUCUGUAUCUUUUUGGCAUUCUUCUUGGUUGUCUUGUGGGUGCUUACGGGAUAUCUUUCCUUCUUUAUUUUCGGCUUCUCUUUUGAAAGAUGCUUCGGUGGGAAGUAUGGGGGGUUGGGUGAGAGAGGUUUUGAAAUGGGGAGAUCUUGGAAUUGCAUCUCCGAACAGCCCCGAUUUAGCCUAUGAAUUGCUUAUUUUACAUGGUAAUUUGAAUCUUGUUUCGCCGAGUAUGGAAGGAAAAGAUAAGGUGGUUUGAAACGAUAGCGUGGAUCAUUCUUUUUCAGUAAAGGGUUGCUAUGAUUUUCUCUCUUCCUCUUUUGUUCCUUUUGGUCCGGCCAAUUUUUAUGAUAAGGCGUUUAGUCUUAUUUGGAAGAUGCAAGUUCCUCUAAAAAUAAAAGCUUUUGGAUGGCGGUGUUUUCUUGAGAAGAUUCCUACUAAAGAUUCGCUUGUUCGUCGAGGUAUCCUUACUCGUGUGGAGGAAAGUAGCCGGUUGGAUUAAUUUUGGUGAGUUCGAAACGGUUGAUCUUAAGGAUAGUUUUUUGAGGUGGAGUCGUUUUUGUAAACACAAGAGGGUAAAAUUUUUAUGAGUUUUGUAACCAUUUGUUUUAUAUCUCUUAAGUUUUAUUUGGUGUGUAAUUUUCCCUUCUCCGAGUAGUGUUUUCUCGGAUCUUUUGUAACCGAGUUUGAGAACUUUUGUUCUCUAUUAAUCAAACUUGCUUACAAAAAAAAUGUAGCUAGUCUUCCAGGUAUCUUGUUAGCGAAGUUGAGGCUCUUUCGGGGAGGUUUGUGUUUUUGGAGUGGAUGCAACAAUGGGUCGGAUGGGGGUACUAAAAACCCAGGCUUAGAUGAGUUAAAUUUUUUUUUUUUUGUUAAGAAGUUUUAGGGUUUGUUCAAGGAGGAUGUGCAUGCUAUGUUUGAUAAGUUCUUUGAGAAUCUGUUAUAUAUAGGAGUUUAACAUCCUUCUUUGGGACUUUCAUCGCUAAGGCUAAUUCUCCGCUCGAGGACAUGUUGCGGUGUGUAUCUUGGAAAGUUGAGGAAUUUGGAAUAACCACAUUCCUUUGAUCAAAAUUGCAUAUAACAACAGUUAUUACUCGAGCAUCGGAAUGGCACCGCCAAAGCAUUAUAUGGCAGGAAGUUUAGGACACCUUUGUAUUGUACAGAGGUUGGUAACAAAUGAAUUCUUGGACCAGAGAUAAUCCAAGAAAUCAUGGAAAAGUUAAAGAUUAUCCAGGAAAAGAUGAAUAAAGCACAAGACCGCCAAAAUAUUUAUAUGGAUCGGUGUAGGAGGCCUUUGGGAUUCGACGAGGGAGAUCAUGUGUUCUUUAAGGUUACCCCUAAGCUAGUGCUAAAGUGACCGUUCACGGUGAAGAAAUUGAGUCUGAGAUAUAAUUGUCUAUAUCAAAUCAUAUGACGGGUAGGUGAAGCGGACUAUCAUUUGACUUUGCACAUUUCUUAUCUGGGCUUCAUGAUGUUUUUCAUGUAUCUCUACCCAAGAAAUUUGCACCAUAUAUUUUUUAACCUAUCCUCCCGCAUACGGUUGAAGUUGCAACAUAUCUCACAUUUCAACCUCAAUCUAGUUGCAUUGUGGAUUAUGCAAUUAAGUCACUAAGAAAUAAGGGUAUACCUCCUUGUGAAAGUUUGUAGGAAGUGUCAUAACUCGGCGAGGCUACAUAGUAGUUAGAAUCAGAAAUGAAGACAUACUACCCUCGUCUCUUCAAGUAAUCUAAAAAUUUCGAGAGCAGAAUUCAAUUAAGGGGGAGAGUGUAAUAUCCCUCAAUUUCAUUAAUUGUAAUUGUUAGUGGUCAAUCAGGAGGAUAGAAGAAAUUAUGGCUAAUUAAUCUAAGUUCCUAAAUCUAACCAAGUUCGUAAUGGCACGAUUAAUAAACACAUUGAUAGAAACCACGUAUUUUUCUCAUUCUUCCUCCUUGCCAAAACUGAAGUUAAAAAUAAUCAAGAGAAAGUGACGAGUAUAAGAGGAAAAUGAGGAUAAGGUAGUUCUAGUUUCAUCUUUGAAGAACUUUCUGUAGGGAUGUCAAUGGGGCGGGGAUACAUUCCUAUUACAAUCUCCGUCCUCGAAUCUAUUCCCCAUCCCCACUUUGGAUCCCCGUUAUGGGGAGAUUUUGUCCCACAUCCCCGUCCCCGCGGGUCCCCACGAAUCCCCAAGAUUUAUGCUGAGAUCCAUAAACACGAUUUUAUUUAUUUAUUAUUUUAAACCAAAUUAAUAGUAAAAACUUCCAAAACUAACUACAAGAAAUUUGGAAAUUAUUUCUUUACGAUAAAUAUAGUGUUUUAACAAUAUUUAAUCUAUAAUAUUGAGUGUCAUGACCACCAAAAUUUCAAACUAAAAAAAUUGAAAUAAUCAUUUAGAUCUCCGCUAACGGAGACAAGUUGACAUCCCUAACUUUCUGGAUGAUUCAUCGGUUCAUCUAGAUAAUCCAAAUAGUCUUUGUUUGCCUCAGCUUUAUUUGAAGGCGAAUCUUCUCUCCUGUUAGGCCUUCUUUGUGUUGCUUCAGUUGUUCUGUUUCUGCUUCGAGUAGUAAUUCUAGCCGAAGUACUUGCUAAGUCAACAACAAAUUAAACUUGAGUUGGUGAUUCCUUCUCAGCCUUUUAUUUCUCCUUUCUGGCUUGCUUCUUCUGACUUACAAUCUUCUUAGCAUCUCUUUCUACUUUUGAUAAUUUUUGUCUGCCUACCCAUGUUGAUGGACGGUGUAAACUUGGAGGAGAAAGGUGAAAUGGUUAAGCUCUAAGGCCUUUGCUUUUAUAGAGAAAUUUUUUUUUGGAAAAGAUUUUCUGAAUCUUAUGGCCAUGCUUCUCGAGCCU